GCCCCCAUAGCUCAGGGGAUAGAGCACCGCCCUCCGGAGGCGGGGGCGCAGGUUCGAAUCCUGCUGGGGGCACCA
rnacentral:tRNA from 3 species